rnacentral:miRNA from 10 species
CGUGUCCGAAUUCCGCAUGCGG